CUGGUUCUCCCCGAAAUGCAUUUAGGUGCAGCGUUGUGUGGUUCGUGUCGGAGGUAGAGCACUGGAUGGUCUAGGGGGCCUAUCAGCUUACCGAAACCAGCCAAACUCCGAAUGCCGGCACGUGGAGCGCAGCAGUGAGACGGCGGGGGAUAAGCUUCGUCGUCGAGAGGGAAACAGCCCAGAUCAUCAGCUAAGGCCCCUAAGUGAUAGCUAAGUGGAAAAGGAUGUGGAGUUGCGUAGACAACCAGGAGGUUGGCUUGGAAGCAGCCAUCCUUGAAAGAGUGCGUAAUAGCUCACUGGUCAAGUGAUUCCGCGCCGACAAUGUAGCGGGGCUCAAGUUAUCCGCCGAAGCUGUGGCAACUUUUUUGAGUUGGGUAGGGGAGCGUCGUGUUCGUGGUGAAGCAGCCUGGUGAUGGGUUGUGGAGUGGAUGCGAGUGAGAAUGCAGGCAUGAGUAGCGAAUGACGGGUGGGAAACCCGUCCGCCGAAUAUCCAAGGGUUCCAGGGUCAAGUUAAUCUGCCCUGGGUGAGUCGGGACCUAAGGCGAGGCCGACAGGCGUAGUCGAUGGACGACCAGUUGAUAUUCUGGUACCGGUGUAGCACCGUCCGUGUCGAGGUGUGUGAUGCUAAGCGUGCGAGUGUCCUGGUGAUCCCUUCGGGGUGAUCUUGUGGCGUGAGUGUGUGAACCGAUCAUGUAGUAGACAAGCUGCGGAGGGACACAGUGAGGUAGCUCGUCCCCGGCGAUGGUUGUCCGGGGCUAAAUGUGUGGACUGUCUGGUAGGUAAAUCCGUCAGGCGUUGAGUUGAGGCAUGAUGGCGAGCCAUGUUUGUGUGGUGAGCGAGUGAUCCUGUGCUGUCGAGAAAAGCUUCGUGAGCGAGGUGUGAGCCGCCCGUACCCUAAACCGACACUGGUGGAUUGGUAGAGUAUACCGAGGCGAUCGAGUGAAUCGUGGUGAAGGAACUCGGCAAAAUGCCCCCGUAACUUUGGGAUAAGGGGGACCUGAGCUGUCGUGCACCCGUGCGGUGUGGUGGCGGUGAGGGGCGCAGAGUCCAGGGGGAAACGACUGUUUACCAAAAACACAGGUCCGUGCGAAGUCGUAAGACGAUGUAUACGGACUGACUCCUGCCCGGUGCUGGAAGGUUAAGAGG
rnacentral:rRNA from 14 species